GCUGAACAGAUGCACAUGGAAGAUGCAACAUGACCGUUUGCAAGUAGGAGCACUAUUUGUUCCACUGGGUAAGGGGGGCUUACCAAAAUUUGUUCUGGCACAACGUCUACCAGCCUGAAUGUUAGGAGGGUUCUAACACUAGCCCGUGUUAUGCCAAUGUGCACUGGGAAUCUCCAGGCAGGACUGAAGGACGCGCCAGUUCCCAAACUUAUUUGAACUUUAAAGUCGCUGGCAGAAAAUGAUAAUGUCUACCCUGGAAAGACUGGCCUGGAGGAGACUGCUCGAGGCUCUAGGCAGAAGACCUUCCCCAACAAAGGAAGGCUGGGAUCUGGAGCUUCCAGUCAAUGUUGGACAGUUGCUUCAAAGGAAUGACUCCAUGACAGGACUGUUGCCUCCCAUAGAGAAAAGACAAUGAAGAAGGAGGAGUAUUCAAACAAGAUCAAGGCAGUCAUCACUUCAAUCAAAUUAUUUCCAAAUUUUGGGGGCUCCGGGGGCCCUGGGC